GUCAUGGCCCAGUGGCUGAGCAUCUUCUUGGCAUGAAGAAGGUCCUGGGUUCAAUCCCCGUCAUCUCCA
rnacentral:tRNA from 1 species